GGCGGCGUGCUUAACACAUGCAAGUCGAACGAUGAACCACUUCGGUGGGGAUUAGUGGCGAACGGGUGAGUAACACGUGGGCAAUCUGCCCUUCACUCUGGGACAAGCCCUGGAAACGGGGUCUAAUACCGGAUAUCACUUCUGCAGGCAUCUGUGGGAGUUGAAAGCUCCGGCGGUGAAGGAUGAGCCCGCGGCCUAUCAGCUUGUUGGUGAGGUAAUGGCUCACCAAGGCGACGACGGGUAGCCGGCCUGAGAGGGCGACCGGCCACACUGGGACUGAGACACGGCCCAGACUCCUACGGGAGGCAGCAGUGGGGAAUAUUGCACAAUGGGCGAAAGCCUGAUGCAGCGACGCCGCGUGAGGGAUGACGGCCUUCGGGUUGUAAACCUCUUUCAGCAGGGAAGAAGCGAAAGUGACGGUACCUGCAGAAGAAGCGCCGGCUAACUACGUGCCAGCAGCCGCGGUAAUACGUAGGGCGCAAGCGUUGUCCGGAAUUAUUGGGCGUAAAGAGCUCGUAGGCGGCUUGUCACGUCGGGUGUGAAAGCCCGGGGCUUAACCCCGGGUCUGCAUUCGAUACGGGCUAGCUAGAGUGUGGUAGGGGAGAUCGGAAUUCCUGGUGUAGCGGUGAAAUGCGCAGAUAUCAGGAGGAACACCGGUGGCGAAGGCGGAUCUCUGGGCCAUUACUGACGCUGAGGAGCGAAAGCGUGGGGAGCGAACAGGAUUAGAUACCCUGGUAGUCCACGCCGUAAACGGUGGGAACUAGGUGUUGGCGACAUUCCACGUCGUCGGUGCCGCAGCUAACGCAUUAAGUUCCCCGCCUGGGGAGUACGGCCGC
rnacentral:rRNA from 1 species